GAUGAAGAACGCAGCGAAAUGCGAAAAGUAAUGUGAAUUGCAGAAUUCAGUGAAUCAUCGAAUCUUUGAACGCACAUUGCGCCCGCCAGUAUUCUGGCGGGCAUGCCUGUCUGAGCGUCAUUUCAACCCUCACGCCCCUAGGGCGUGGUGUUGGGGAUCGGCCAGCGCCCGCGAGCGCAAGGCCGUCCCCCAAAUCUAGUGGCGGACCCGUCGUGGCCUCCCCUGCGAAGUAGUGAUAUUCCGCAUAGGAGAGCGACGAGCCCCUGCCGUUAAACCCCCAACUUUCUCAGGUUGACCUCAGAUCAGGUAGGAAUACCCGCUGAACUUAAGCAUAUCAAUAAGCGGAGGA
rnacentral:misc_RNA from 1 species